AUACGGAGGGUGCAAGCGUUACUCGGAAUCACUGGGCGUAAAGCGCGCGCAGGCGGCCAUUUAAGUUGGAUGUGAAAGCCUACGGCUCAACCAUAGAACUGCAUCCAAAACUAUUUGGCUAGAGUGUGGGUGAGGAAGAUGGAAUUAGUUGUGUAGGGGUAAAAUCCGUAGAGAUAACUAGGAAUACCAAAAGCGAAGGCAAUCUUCUGGAACACUACUGACGCUGAGGCGCGAAAGCGUGGGGAGCAAACGGGAUUAGAUACCCUAGUAGUCC
rnacentral:rRNA from 1 species